CUCAGAUUCAGAUCAGUGUGUUCAACUGUAAUGGCGAAACACUGUUGGUCAAAGUGAAACGCCAGCAAAGGGACAGAAGAAGAAAUCAGAACAACAGAAACAGGCAGUGUGCAGAAGUUCUACUAGAGACGAACGAGGAACAGCGAUGGAGAAGAACCACAGCAGAGAUUUCUUUGCAUGGACGGACAAUGAUGUGGAACUGUUACUGAAAGUAACAGGGGAGUACAAAGAGACUGUGACUGUGGCUGCACGAACAAAGUCUCCAGCUUCUGCUCCAAAACAGCAACACAGAACCAAUUUAGAAACCAGCCGACAUGAAAGAGUCCCAUUAAAACCCAGCAGACGCCUCACGGCAGGAGGCCGCCACCGCUUCACUGAGCGUGUGCAGACGUGCUGCAGGAUCUGUACAAAGCUCCCCGCUCAGAUUCAGCCUCUCUGCUAUUAUAGAACAUUGAUUAGAGCCGCUUUAAGUUAAAUGAAUUAAUUAGCGUUCUUUUUCUUUUUCUUUGUGCAGUUAUUUCCCCUUAAAUGAUCUUUUUCUUUUAUUGUCAGCUGUGAAGCACUUUGUGAAGUCUGUUUCAACAUGAGCUCUUUUAAUUAAUCACUGAUCACAUAUUGGGAUGAUCCUCGAACAGUAAUUCACAUUUACUGUUUUAUUUAUUUAUUUACAUUUUUAAUAUUUAAUUUU